rnacentral:rRNA from 1 species
AGUGAACGCUGGCGGUAUGCCUAACACAUGCAAGUCGAACGGCAGCACAGUAUAAGCGUGCUCUUACGGGUGGCGAGUGGCGGACGGGUGAGGAAUACAGCGGAAUCUACUUUUUCGUGGGGGAUAACGUAGGGAAACUUACGCUAAUACCUCAUACGACUUACGGGUGAAAGCAGGGGUUCUUGCGACCUUUCGCGAUUGAAUGAGUCGAUGUCGGUUUUGUUAGUUGGGGGGGUAAAGGCCCACCAAGGCGAGGAUCCGUAGCUGGUCUGGGAGGAUGGCCACCCACAUUGGAACUGGAACACGGUCAAGACUCCUACGGGAGGCAGAAGUGGGGAAUAUUGGACAAUGGGCGCAAGCCUGCUCCAGCCAUACCGCGUGGGUGAGGAAGGCCUUCGGGUUGUAAAGCCCUUUUGUUGGGAAAGAAAAUCAGCAGGUUAAUACCCCGCUGUUCUGACGGUACCCAAAGAAUAAGCACCGGCUAACUUCGUG